AGAGUUUGAUCCUGGCUCAGAUUGAACGCUGGCGGCAUGCCUUACACAUGCAAGUCGAACGGCAGCGCGGGGCAACCUGGCGGCGAGUGGCGAACGGGUGAGUAAUAUAUCGGAACGUGCCCUGGAGUGGGGGAUAACGCAGCGAAAGUUGCGCUAAUACCGCAUACGAUCUAAGGAUGAAAGCAGGGGACCGCAAGGCCUUGUGCUCCUGGAGCGGCCGAUAUCUGAUUAGCUAGUUGGUGGGGUAAAGGCCUACCAAGGCAUCGAUCAGUAGCUGGUCUGAGAGGACGACCAGCCACACUGGAACUGAGACACGGUCCAGACUCCUACGGGAGGCAGCAGUGGGGAAUUUUGGACAAUGGGCGCAAGCCUGAUCCAGCAAUGCCGCGUGAGUGAAGAAGGCCUUCGGGUUGUAAAGCUCUUUUGUCAGGGAAGAAACGGUAUGGGCUAAUAUCCCGUACUAAUGACGGUACCUGAAGAAUAAGCACCGGCUAACUACGUGCCAGCAGCCGCGGUAAUACGUAGGGUGCAAGCGUUAAUCGGAAUUACUGGGCGUAAAGCGUGCGCAGGCGGUUUUGUAAGUCUGAUGUGAAAUCCCCGGGCUCAACCUGGGAAUUGCAUCGGAGACUGCAAGGCUAGAAUCUGGCAGAGGGGGGUAGAAUUCCACGUGUAGCAGUGAAAUGCGUAGAGAUGUGGAGGAACACCGAUGGCGAAGGCAGCCCCCUGGGUCAAGAUUGACGCUCAUGCACGAAAGCGUGGGGAGCAAACAGGAUUAGAUACCCUGGUAGUC
rnacentral:rRNA from 1 species